GAUGAACGCUGGCGGCGUGCCUAAUACAUGCAAGUCGAGCGAACAGACGCGGAGCUUGUUCCGCUGACGUUUGCGGCGGACGGGAGAGUAACACGUGGAUCCCCUCCCUAUCAGACUGGGAUAACUUCGGGAAACCGGCGAUAAUACCGGAUGAUAUCUUGCACCGCAUGGUUCAAUGGUGAAAGACGGUUUUGCUGUCACUUCUAGAUGGUUACGGGCCGCAUUAGCUGGUUGGUACGGUAACGGCCUACCACGGCAACGAUGCGUAGCCGACCUGUGAGGGGGAUCGCCCACCCUGGAACUGAGACACGGUCAAGACGCCUACGGUAGGCAGCAGUAGGGAAUCUUCCGCAAUGGUCGAAAGCCUUACGGAGCAACGCGGCGUGAGUUAUGAAGGUCUUCGGAGCGUAAAACUCGGUUAUGAGGUAAGAACAAAUGUGGAAGUAACUAUGCACGUCGUGACGGUACCGAGUCAGAAAGCCACGGCUAACUACGUG
rnacentral:rRNA from 1 species